UGGGGAAUAUUGCACAAUGGGGGAAACCCUGAUGCAGCGACGCCGCGUGAGCGAAGAAGGCUUUCGAGUCGUAAAGCUCUGUCCUAUGAGAAGAUAAUGACGGUAUCAUAGGAGGAAGCCCUGGCUAAAUACGUGCCAGCAGCCGCGGUAAUACGUAUGGGGCGAGCGUUGUACGGGAUUAUUGGGCGUAAAGGGCUUGUAGGAGGUUGGCCGCGUCUGCCGUGAAAUCCUCUGGCUUAACUGGGGGCGUGCGGUGGGUACGGGUUGACUUGAGUGCGGUAGGCGAGACUGGAAUUCCUGGUGUAGCGGUGGAAUGCGCAGAUAUAAGGAGGAAGACCGGUGGAGAAGGCGGGUCUCUGGGCCGUUAAUGACGCUGAGAAGCGAAAGCGUGGGGAUCGAACAGG
rnacentral:rRNA from 1 species